GCAGAAGGACGUUAUGAAUUCACCUCCAUCAGCUCUGAGGAAAGCGGGAUCUACUACUGCAAGUCUGAGAAUCAAUAUGGAGAGAACAACUCUACGUCUCUAUUUGUAGAUGUUCUGUAUGCUCCAAAGCUUCCCUCUGUGUCAGUGAGUCCCUCUGAGAUAGAGGAGGGCAGUUCAGUGACUCUGACCUGUAGCAGUGAUGCUAACCCAGCAGCUAACUACACCUGGUACAAGGAGGAUGAAGACUCUCCAAAAGCUUCAGGACAGAUCUUCAACAUCACUGACUUCAGAGCUGAACACAGUGGGAGUUAUUCCUGUGAAGCCCAGAACAAGUUAGGACGUCAAAACUCCACCUUACAUCAGAUUGUCUUGACUGGAGCAAGGACAUCUAGAGCUGCUGGAAUCACCACUGCUGUGUUCCUGGUAGUCAUCCUCCUCUCUAUAUUUUUAUUGAUCAGG